UGAAAGUUUGUCUUCUUUCUGGCACAUAAUGGCCUGUUGGGCAAAGAACUCCCCUUACCUCGACUGCUGACAGUAUGAAUGCUGUCCUUUCUGGAUGAGCAGGACAGAAGAAAAAAUGACUACUGAACUUUGCCAAGACAGGGCGCAGCUGCUGGGGGACCCUGAAGACCUGGGAUGCACCUAAGCUCUCUCUCUUCACUACCUCGUGGUUUUGAAUGCUGGAAUGGACCAGGGCAAAGCUCACCAGAGAACAGCAUUGGACCAUACCUCACCCUUCCAAGAUCCUGUGAAAUAAAUUCCUUUAUUUCGUCUUGUGAGUUAACCCCCAAAUAAAUUCCUUUGCUCAUUAAA